UGAAAAACUAUAUCGCGUGUUUACAGUAAAAUUAUGUAAUUUCAUAGCCCUUUAGUUUUCUAAGAUUUUAGUUUAAAUGAAAAACUGACAAUUAAAAAGUGUACCUAUACAGCUAGGAAUCUGACUAAAAUUUAAUAUAUGCAUUAAUGCAGUUUAAGACUUGUGCAAUUUUUAUUACGGGAAAACAGGAGUGGAAAAGUCAACUUUCAUUUGGCCAUUUAUCAAUAGUGUGUAAAUGUAGAAAUUGUGCAACAGCUUGAAAUAUCAUAAAGAAGGUCUGCACAAGUCAAGACUAUUACCUACAAGCCCCAACCCCACACAACCAGCACAGGCGCGGCAGCUACAGCUACACAUACAAGGAGCAGCCAUUUUGUGUGCCGAGGAUCGCUGUACAUGCAGUGCAGUGUACGUGUAUGCUGUGUACAUGCAGCAAUAUAGCUAGUACGUGCACUUUUCACAGUCCAGCUUCAUGCCUCGUGACAUCUUGGUGUUUUAGAUCUGCAAAAUCAUGCUGAAUUCUGUUUUUUCCCGGCUAAUAUACAACAGUAUGGAUAUAUACGCAACAUGACAAAUGAGUAGUUUCCAUAUCGACAUCCUUCUUUAUCAUCAUCUUGACCGAAACAUCAACGCCACCAUCACCAUUUCUUCGUCGUUGACCUCCGUUUUGGCGUUUGAACUUGAAGUUUGUUGCGAACUCUAAUAAUGAAUUUGGACAUUGGCAUUAUCAACUUUUGUUCUGUCUUUGAACACCAUCGACGUCAAACUUUGAUUGAAGGUAAGAACCUCAUCUUUACCUUCUUCGUCUUCGAUUUGCGUUUCGUCGUUUGCAAGUCUGAUCCUGACUCCGGCUAAUGAUGAAUUUAUCGACUUUCGAUCUGUCUUCGAUCACCGUCGACUUCGAACUCUAUACCAUUUUUCACCAUCGCCAUACAUGGACUUCGCAUCCGAUCGACAUUGCAGACUCUUGGCUUUCAGUCAUCAUUCAUUUUUGAACUGUAUUAUGAUUACCGAUGUCAUCUAUGAUCUACCAUAGCAAGUAGGCCUAGCUACCAACUGUUUCUUCAAACUAAAUUCGUCGACGAAUCUCGCACCUCCGCUGGAAGGACAGUUUGUAAAUUGUACUAUUGAAUACGAGCGGCAGUCUUUCGCUAUAGAAAUAGACUAACCACUUUACUUAUAAUAUUGCUGUGUGCUGAAAGUGUUUAGUGUCAUAUGCAAUGUAACAAGCGGCAGUCUUUCGCUAUAGAAAUAGACUUCAGUUUUCGACUGUAAAUUGUUUUAUAUAUUUUACGCGAGCUAGAUUUUAGCUCGUUUGAAUAAACGCCUUUAAAAAAGUAAA